AAUGUAUUUUCUUUUUCUCUCUGUCCAGCCGACAGGUGGGCCCCACCCAGCUGUCUUCCACCUCCAGUUGGUCUCCCGACCGAGAACGCAACCCGCGCGCGUAUCCUGCGCAUGAUCUCACCGAUCCCUCCGAUCCGUCUGCGAUUCGCUCGCAUACGCACAACCCCGCACAGCCGUCGAUCUCCUCUCUCGAUCCCUUGCCUUGCCUCGCACAACCGAGCAGGGAAUCGAGCGCAGCGACCUUGCGGAUCUUCGCCUCGUCGCCGGUACUUCAUCGACGAAAUUCGUCGCCGCCUAUGCUCGGAUUCGAGCUCCCCAGCCAACCCGAUCUCGUCGGAGCUCCCAUCGCCAGCAGCCCCUCCGCCGGCGAAUUUGGCGCCACCAAGGGAGAGAAUCAAACCUAGCACGCCGAGCUUGCCCGGAGCAAAUCACCGCCACCCGUCGCUCCACCCGUACACUGUCAUCGCCUGACGACGCCCCGUCGUCACUGACCUCACAACCUUCUUCUCCGUCACUCUGCGCACCUGCUGGUCCACCCUCCCAGUCGCCUUGGUCCACCGGAGAGGCCACACCGAGAAACGCCAUAGCCACACCGACAUCGGAGCUCCAAACGCCACUGCAGCGCUAGCAGAGGACGCUCACAUCUCCGUCGAAGCUACCAUCGUCUCCGUCAUCGCAAGCUGCAUCCGCCCGUCACCUCAUCUUCGCCGGAGAGCCACCGGAGGAGCGCCGCCACCCACGCCCGAAGCCGUCGCCGUUUUCCCCCUGCUUCGAUUGCUCGGAGCGUGACUAGUAGAAUUAUCAGGAUUGUGAGUGCGACGAUCUUCAUCCAACGUACCAGGCAAGUUACACCUUGAUCAUCCUUCAUCCUAUUAUUUUUCUAUGCAUGUAGUUAUAUAUAUCACAAUACACAUUAUGCAUGUGUAGGAAUAUUAUGGUAGUAUGCUAUUGCGUUUGAGAUGCAGUUAGUAUGGCCUUAUUGUAGACCGCAGUAGUGUAUUCUUGCUACGCUAUGUAGGCGGGGAUUGGUUCGUGUAUUCAUCGAGAUUUUGUGAGGACUAUAUAUAAUAUAACUUGAGUAAAAACAUAAUAUAUAAUUCACCUCUGGACGGACAGGGUUGCAUCAUGGUUUCUUGUUCCUUUUCUAAGGGCAUGGACCAUGGCUAAGUGCACGCGAACAAUAUUGCUGGGUGGUUUCAAGAACAUCAUGGUUUAUACCCUCUGAAUGUAAGUGGGUGCCAUUCAGGCUCAAAAAGAUCAGACAGACUUAGUGACUAUAGUAGCUUCCAUGUACAACCACUGCUAAUAUGCGCUCUGGCUUAGUUGAUCAAUUGUGGAGACCUUACCCGGAUGUGCCAGCAAAUGUAGCUAUGAUAGUUGGGAUGGGCCUCCUGUGGGACUAGGCGACUACUUCUGAAAGACUAUGUCUCAAUCUUCGGGUUGAGUCCAGUGGGUAAAAUGUACAAAUCUCUGCAGAGUGUAUAAACUAAUCAUGAUUAGCCGUGUUCUCGGUUAUGGACAAAUUUGAGCCACUAUGCCAUUACAGUUGUUGGAUCAUCUUGACAGAUGAUACCUUAAUAAAAAUUGAGUGGGAAACUUAAUAAUUGGGAUAGGUUGGAAUUGGAUUGCCCAAUUCAACCAUAUGUAUUCAAUUGUAGCAAGACAUAAAUAAAAUUUGACUAUUAUAUUAUGUAGUUAUCAGGGAAAAACUAGCUUUCUGCAAAACAACCACUACAAUAUCCUCUUGAUACACCUUGCAUAUCUCUACUCCUAAUGUCUCAGUUGGUAGGUCGCGUUCCGGGUUUAAUUUUCGUCCCACCUCACCCGAUCUUUUUUGGUACUUCUUUGGUACUUCCUCUCACCUCACACUGAGCCGCCAUGAACCAAAAAAACCUCGUAUUGAGGCUCCCACCCGCCCCCACGCACCCAUCUACAAAGCAAAGGAAAAAAACCUACGAAAAUUAACCAAUGAAAAAAACCUACGAAAAUUAACCAGCAAAAAAACCUAAACCAAUCGCACGCACGACUCUCCUGCCCUCCACUCGCACGCCCGACUCUCCUGCCCUCCACUCGCACCCGACUCACUGCCCUCGUUCGCGGCCGCCCUCCAUCCCUUCGCCGCCGCCAAGACCCCGCCGGAUCUCACCGCCGCCGAUCUCCUCGAGAAGACCCUGUCGGAUCUCACCGUCGCCGAUCUCCUCGAGAAGACCCUGCCGGAUCUCACCGCCGUCGAUCUCCUCGCGAAGAUCCCGCCGGAUCUCGCUGCCGCCGUAACUCCAUAAAGCCGCCGCCGCCGAUCCCCUCCAGAAAACCCCGCCAAUCCCCUCCGGAAGACCCCGCCGAAUCUUGCGUCGGGGCCAUGGUUCUGGAUCGCCGUCGCAGGGCGGUUUCAACCAGAGCCGGCGGCCUUGAGGAGAGGAGCUCGACGAGCGGGCAGGGUGAUCCCGUGCCUUGGAGACGGCGACCCUCAACCCCUUGCUGCUGUGGUGCACUGGGCACAUCUGUGACGAGGAGGAGGCGAGCCACAAUUCAUCACCUUCCUCGUCUCUCUCAUGGCUGUGCACAAGGAUGUCCGCACCCCGAGCCGAGCUCUGUUUGACCGGAGGACAAGCAGAGGAAAGGCGAACAGGGGUGAUGACAUGGCUCCUGAGCAAGGUGAACAUCGCCUUUAAGGCGAGCGGUGGCGGUAUCUCCCUUACAACCGCACUUCAUUUCUUACAUUGUUUGCUCCUCUUAUCAAGGGCACAUCGGUCAGAUGCAUCCUUGAAAAAAGGGUACAUUGAUCAAGUUGUUUCCUGAUGUUUGCACUCGCUGCUUUAUAGCGUAUUUUUUUCAUAUGAUUUUGGAUAUUUUGUUUCCGUACUGUACCUUAGUUUGGAAUUUAUUUUGUAGGCCCCUUAUCUUGGGCCCCUACAAUAAGUAAACUCAACAUGCGUGAUUCUGAUUAGAGGCAACCGGAUCGUUAUUGAACAUAUUGAUGAUUCCUGUUGUGUAUUCUCAAGGAAUGGUCAGGUUUAGUACUGUAACUAUUUUCUUAUCAAAUAUAUUUGGGUGGUGCUCAAAAUGCAGAGCUGAAAAGCAAGAAACGUAAAGCCACCUCUGAAGAUAAGUUCACCAUGCCUCCCAGAGUGUCACCCCGCUUCGUUGAACUUAAUGGAAUAAGAUCAGAUCAGAAUAACCUUUGUAAACUAGGCAACUGAAUCAUUUCAUUGUUGCUUGUCCAUGUAACGAAGAACUAUCAUUUGGGUACCAAGUUCCACUUCAGGCCAGGAAAAUUUCUUAUAACUUCAAAACGGCAAGGGAUGCACCAUUGUCUUCAGGUCUGCCUUGCAGGUUGGAGUGCAGCUUUCAGAUAUCUUUCUUUCCUUGGGAUAGUUGGAAUGGAAUACUAUGACUAGAUAUACAAUGGUAUUGUUAUCAGUGUUCGGCCUUCAAUGAUUUCGGUGCAGCAUGUCUAGACCAUCAACGGCAAUUUGAGCUCCUUAGUGAAGUAGGUUUGUAAGGCGUUGCUUCAACUCAAGAAAAUCAAUGGCCACAAUUGGGAAGUUGACUGACAAUCCAAAGAGAGUGCCAAUUUUCAAUCUCGUGUUUAGGUGCUUACAUCAAUCUCGUGCAUAGUCUCGAUCACCACCACCGAGGCAGCUACUUCUGCUGGCAGGGGCUGGGCGCCGCCGUGAGGAUGCUAUCACCCAUGCACGCAGUGAUGGCAUGGUGGCCGAAGAAGGCCGUCUUCUGGGGAGUCGCGUGCUGGCCGCCAUCUCCACCCGCGGCCACACCAACAAGACAGGUGAUUUUAGGGUUGGUUCUGUCUGAAACCAAGCUAGCAGGUGAGCCAAAUCAAUCAUUUCACGGUUCUUAAACAGUACAUAACAUAAUGCUAAUUGUGUGUUUUUCAGUAAUAUGCAGAGAAGGUUCGCCUGACAUAAUGACCAACGAGAGCAAGUUGUUUUUUCUUGAUGAAAAUGAUAGCUACCACUUGAUGAGAUUUAGCAAUACAAGCAUUUCCUCUAAUUUUAUUUGUAGCUAAUCCUUUAAGCUCCAAGGAAAUAGCUGAAUGUCACUACCAAAUUAAAUUACCUUUGUACAGAAAAUACGUGGAGUUAUGUGAUCUGCAAGUGAGCAGCUCUCUCACCAACGAGUUAAUAACAUUAAAAUAGGUAGCAGUACCAAUUUUUCCCAGUAAAAGUGAUUUUUUGUUUUCUUCAUUCAAUUAACCAUCGUUUUGAUCGAUGAUGCAUAAUAGAAAUAUGCAUUCCUUUACUGUUUUUUCUCCAUAAGAUCCUUUUAUCACUCAUUAAAAUUUUGCAAGUUCUUGCCAUACCCGAAGCUUCCAUUAUCGCUGACUUCGCCGGAAUGCCUGCACCCAUGUUCCAGGUGCCAAUAAUGAAUCCUGUGUUUAGGUGCUUCUACAUGAAUCCCAUGCAUAGUCUCGAUCACCACCACUGGGGCAGCUACUUCUGCUGGCAGUAGCACUUUCCUCUGACAUGUGUUUUUUUGUCGUUGUGUGCUUCUACAUUAAUCCUGGGUCGUUGUAUUUAGGUUCUCUAAGGCCUAAACUGUGACUUUUCUUAAUUGUAUGUGUUACAACUCGUUUUACUAUACUAAUUUAUUCAGUUGCACCAAUACAAGGUGUGGAGAGUUUGGGUUCGGAAGGUAGUUAGCCUACAAGAGAAGGGGGUUUAGUAUUUUCUUGAUGGCACAUGUUGGAAGGUGCCAUCUUUAUUUCUCUUAUCUUAUGGGUUUCCUCACAAUUGUUUUCUUACAAUGUGCACAAUUUUGCAACAAUAAACAUUGGCUGGGUAUAUACACUUGAAUAGAUGAUCUGGUUACAUAGCAUGCACCCCGGGGAGUUUCAGGAAUUAUGAUGUGUUGGUUUUAUUUGGUUGAAACCAUUAAUGGUUGUCUGAGUUACUUGACUAGGACUGUUUGGGCAUGAAGUGUGUGCUCUAUAACUCCUUCCUAUUGGAUAUUUUUGCUCUCCUUAUUGCACAUGUUCCUGAGAAAAGUGAAGUACUUAUGUCGAUAAGAUGUUGAUUCCCAAAACUCUUAACAUCUUAUAGUGUAUCGGUAGUGUUAAAACAAAAAUAGCGAUUACUUUUCUCGUGUUAUCGUCUAUUGUGUUUCUUCUGUCCUUGAUUCCAAAGGAACUGUAGUAAUUACUUUGCCUAAAGUUUGUGUUAUUUCCAUUUACGAUGUGUUCAACUCAAUUGUGUUACUAAAAUACUUUUAUCGGCGGAUAUUUAUCAAGAAGUAACAUGUCACCACUUUGAAUACAACCUUAGUUUUACAUGCAUUAGUUUUCUAAUUAAAUGUUGUCGUUGUAAGCAUCAAAACUAUCUUCUAGAUUCACAACUUAUGCUUAUGCCCCCGUUUAAAAAAACUAGCUUCUACAGUCACAGCCUUGCUGGGAGCCAGGGUGAGAAACUAAAUGUCAACAUGGUUGUGCAGGUCUGCAGGAGGUGCCUUUGAGAACUUGAUCAGCUACUCGAGCUUCAUUGUCAGCGAAGUCUCCACUGGGUUGCCCAGAUCUGUCCUGAAUUGCUUCAUUGAUGACAAUUUGGAGAAGGCUCCGCUGACACUUACAAAGGAUGUUUUCCUUUGUUGGAAAGACGAGGAUACGCUGGAGAUAGACAUGGGGUGGUAAGAAAAUGAUGAGUUCCUGAUGAUAUUAUGCUUGCUGGUCUAAACCUACAUGUAUUAUGUCAGUUUGUUGUUAAGAGUAUCUUGAAAAUAUAAAGCCACUGGGUGGCCAGGCAUUCUAUACUAUCGUCUUUCCAAGAGCCCACAUUUCUGCAUGUAUAUAUUUGUUGUACAGCCUAUGCUGGUUUGCCUACAAUAAUUAUCAGAAGGUAAUAUGCAGCAGCCAAA